AUAUUUCGCAUCUCAAGUUUUGUCCCUUUUUCUUACUCGUAUGUCAUUAUGUAUAGUUAAUAUCAUUGUUGUUCUGCUUUGCUAAUUCCUCAUUGAAAUGGUGGGCAUGCUGAGUAUCUCUAACUGGAAUAUUGUGGGCUUAAAGAUAAAGCUGAUUUUUGAAUGGGUUUGUGUGUGUUAGCUAGUUGGUAUAUGUUGAGUGCAUUACUCUUCUGACUUUUGGGGAUACAGAAGCGACAAUGCAACUUGGUGCUUGUUUGUUUGAGCAUAGAAACAAUUUUUCAAUGAAUUUGAUUUUCCAAUUUUCUUUUAUUUCCUACAAAGAACAAUAAGCUGUUUUUGGUUGAUCAAGGGAAGUAGAAGCUUCAAACUUUCUUUGGGUCUCCCUUAUAUAAGCAAGUUGCUAUAUUUAUUGGAAAGUAGAACACUUCACACAUUUUUAUCCAACUAAUCCACUUUACAUACUUUUACCUGCUAGGAAAUUUUCACCACAUAUUUAUUUAUGUUAACCAAACUAGCACUGUCUAGUGUGUUAACUAAUAAAAUAGCUCUAUGGCUGUACCAGUGAGAUAGUAUGUUGUUUUUGACGAGUGGGCCAUUUUGUUAUUUCCAGCUUAUUGUUCUUGACAUGUAUGGUCACCCAAAAGCCAUGGUUCAAAAUGAGCCACUGAAGUGGCUCAUGAAUUAUGUGGCCCUGAACUAUAUGGCUCUGGUGAGAUUUCUCACUUUCUGUAUACACAUGAACCUAGAGAAAUAUGUGGCUCUCAAACGGGUUAACUGAGUGAAAUGAGCUUGGUUAGUGGUUAGGGCUGAAAGUGUACUUUAUAGGGGUGUUUUAUUCGAAUAUUACUAACAUGUUUUUGCUUAAAAUUUGUUUGCUGUAUGAAUAAAAUGGGAAAUUGGGCUAUACUUGUUCAAUUUUUUCUCCUUGGCCAUGUUGGAAACCCUUGAUUUUCUUGCCUGUGUUGUAUGGUGCCAAACUUCUUAGAGGCUGUGGGUUGGUUGAAUUUAAAUAUAAUUUCAGCGCAGAUUUCAUUAAUGUAUUAAGUGAGAUUCUGUCAUGUCCUUUGUUAGCCUAUCUUCAGUAUUUGGAUGGUGUAUAUCUCGUGUGGUCUAGUAUCAUCAUGUGUUUAUUGAAAUGUUAGUAUUAUUCCGUUGUGUGUAUAAUGAAGUUUCGUACGUAGCUCAUUUGUUAUUAUAGGUAGUAAUUUGAGUGCAAUGUUAUAUAAACUUUCCAUGUUCAUGAAAUUUCAUCCCUGAAAUAUGUUGUUUUAAUUUGCAUCAAUGCCUAGUUCCGUAGUAUCACCUUACGAAGUGGUAAUAGUAGUAUGAAACAAGAGAUGUUAUGGGGGUGGACAAGAGACAUUCUUUUGUAUAUUGCUGGUAUUGCGAGCUAUUGGCAGCCAUCAAACGGGGUACCCCAGGCUGUUGUGUAUGCUCCAAAAUAUAAUUCGAUUUUUAUAUUGUGCAUUUGGGUUUAACUUUACACCCUCUUACAUUUAUAGUGUCAUCUUCACAUUUGCAUAGGAUAAAAAAUGUGAGGGUUACUGUUGCAUCAGGGACAUUCAGUAACUUAAGAAAAGCUAGCGCAUGUUCAUUUGGGUGAGAUCUUGUUGCUAUUAGCUUCUGGCAUUUGAGUACUCUGAUAUGGCUGUCUUGCUUCUAUCAUGCACAAGUUGUGGGGGUGUGUAGUCUUUCAUAAUUAGGCUCACAUGACGCAUAUGCUAGGCAUCAUUAUUGUUAUGCAAGAAUAGGAUGUGUCAUGUGUGGUUGAUGCAUAGUUUUUAUAUUCUAGGCUUAAGUGCUGAACAUGUUGCAGAUGGCGCCAUGCUGGUCAUCCAUAUCGGUUGGAGUAUAUUAUGCGAAAUGCAGCGAAUGGAGACCGCGAAGUUGUCACAAAUCCUUUCCUACUUGCUAAUAGGAUCAUCCAUAUCAGAGUGCUAAUAUCUGAGGCUCUUUUAGUUGCUAAUAUUGUUAUCGAAAUGCAUAUUCAAUUUGCGGUUUCAUUUAAGAUUCUGGACAUGUGUUUGUUGCUUUUUGUUAUAUGGUUACGUACUUGCGGUGAAGGGAAUUUGAAUUGGCAUGUUGAUCAGGACAUAUUAUUACACCUAGCUAUAAUGGUGGUUUAUUUAAAUUAUUGUAUCAUUUUUCAGAAGUUAUGUCAUCAUCAACUUUUGAUGUA